GAUGAACGCUGGCGGCGUGCCUAAUACAUGCAAGUCGAGCGAGCAGACGAGGAGCUUGCUCCUCUGACGUUAGCGGCGGACGGGUGAGUAACACGUGGAUAACCUACCUAUAAGACUGGGAUAACUUCGGGAAACCGGAGCUAAUACCGGAUAAUAUAUUGAACCGCAUGGUUCAAUAGUGAAAGACGGUUUUGCUGUCACUUAUAGAUGGAUCCGCGCCGCAUUAGCUAGUUGGUAAGGUAACGGCUUACCAAGGCAACGAUGCGUAGCCGACCUGAGAGGGUGAUCGGCCACACUGGAACUGAGACACGGUCCAGACUCCUACGGGAGGCAGCAGUAGGGAAUCUUCCGCAAUGGGCGAAAGCCUGACGGAGCAACGCCGCGUGAGUGAUGAAGGUCUUCGGAUCGUAAAACUCUGUUAUUAGGGAAGAACAAAUGUGUAAGUAACUAUGCACGUCUUGACGGUACCUAAUCAGAAAGCCGCGGCUAACUACGUG
rnacentral:rRNA from 1 species